rnacentral:rRNA from 1 species
UACAGAGGUGGCAAGCGUUGUUCGGAAUUACUGGGCGUAAAGGGCGCGUAGGCUGCUCUGUGUGUCGGAUGUGAAAGCCCCGGGCUCAACCUGGGAAGUGCACUCGAAACUACAGAGCUGGAGUCUCGGAGAGGAUCGCGGAAUUCUCGGUGUAGAGGUGAAAUUCGUAGAUAUCGAGAGGAACACCGGUGGCGAAGGCGGCGAUCUGGACGAUGACUGACGCUGAGACGCGAAAGCGUGGGGAGCAAACAGG